UGAGGAUCCCACGCUGCAGGAUGAUCCCCACCCGCUUCAUGUUCUUACCGCCGUACGUCUGGGGAAGAGAAGUGUUGCCAAGAGAAGGGCCUCGAGUCCUCAGGAGAGGCUGGGAAUCUUAUUGUGCUAGGCGUCGUCCAAACAUAGCGAGAGACAGUCCCAGCCCCAAAGAGAUUCCAAUCUAAAUAAGACCAAAUGGACAAAGGAAGUGUUAUCUCUAUUUUACAAACCGGAAAGGAGGCACAAGAGAAAGUAAGGGCCAGACUUUCAGAAGACCUCAGAACCUACUGUGCUUGAAAAUCUACUUCCGAUGGUGGGCGCCAAGCUAAAUGACUUGUCUAAGGUCACAUAGAAACAUUUGCAGCAGAGUCUGAAACUCAAUCCAUGUUUCUCAAGCUCCAGUCUAGUGCCAGACUGUCCCUCCUCUCUUAAGGCAACAUUCUGAUCUUCCCUCUCAUAACACCUCAUCUUCCAACAGUGCUGACGUCGGCCCAAGAACAACAUCAGGAGAGGAUGGAAUCCUAGUCACGCACUUCUUCUGGGGCAGAAACUAUGUGGAGAGCUUAGUCUGGGUCAGCACCAAAGGGAGAGAAUGGCAAAACAGGGCCCCAGUCCCAAAGGCAAAGGCAGCCCUAGGGAGGAGAAGAGGCCCUGGGAACCUGAAGGCCUGUUUGGCAUCAGCCAGAAUGUAACCUUGUCUAUCUUUGGUUUUUAAGGAACUGUCAACGAGAGAUGAGGUGAGGUAACUGACCCAGGGACCCCCUUAAGAGAGAGCAAAGAGCAGAAGCAACCCAAAGGUCAUUGAUGCUAUUAGGAAAGGAGAAACAUGAGACUGACCACCCCAAAGAAAAGGAUACAGAAGGGAUAUUACCAGAGGAUUUACAUCCUUGCCAUUACUGUUGUGAUGAGGUAAGAUGGAUCCAAGUAGGACAAUUUUCUUAGGAGCUAACUGAGGCUGCUUAGCCCCCACGGUUGGUGAUGAAAACUCAAGGAACUUCCUUCCCCACAAAGAGUACUGCUGACCGGGGACCAGGUCUGCACCUUUUGUAUCACUCUGCAGAAAACCAAACCCUCAAUUCUUGGCUUGGUCCAAGAAAAUAACUUGGAUGUUCCUUGCCUGUGGAUCCUAAGGCAAUUGUACUAGGCACAAAUCUGAUCUUUGGACACAGCAAUAACACAAACAUUGAUUGUUUUUUUUCUUAGUUUGCUAAGGAGCCCUGACCAUUGAACUAAAUCAUGGAUCAUUUGAGCAGCGAUUAGACAGCAGUUCUGGCAGACAGCAAGUGACACCAAUGUAACAGAAAGAAUUAAACCCACAGCCUUUCAAGGGCGAAGAUACUUUUAUCUUUCAACCCAGUAAAACUGGCCUUUUCAGGCACGUCAGACAUGCACAUUUCUUCGCACUCAUUGUUUCUUCUAGGAGGAAAAUAUAAACUUCAGGAUCAUCUUUCAGCCACUGAUUCCCUGUGGCUGUUGCUUCCCUAGUCGCAUUUUCUGCCUCUCAUCACAAGAGGACGGAGCCUGCUUUCACGUGGCAUGCCAAGACAGGCACGACAGACAGCAAAAGGGUUACAAGAUGAUGUGUAGAAAAACUGAACAAUGGCAGAUGGUGAGUCAUAACUGGGGCCCUACCAAAUUCACAGCCAUGAAAAACACGUCACCGACCGUGAAAUCUGGUUUCCUCCUGUGAAUUAUAGUACAGGGUAAAAGCACACAAAAGACCAGAUUUCACAGGGGAGACCAGCGUUAAUCGAACUGGGGGCCCUGACCCAAAAGGGAGUUGCAGGGGGGGUCACAAGAUUAUUUUAGGGGGGUUGCAGUAUUGCCACUCUUACUUCUGCACUGCACUCUGAAGGCAGCACCUGACCAGCAGCAGUGCAGAAGUAAGGGUGUCAAUACCAUACCAGGCCACCCUUACUUCUGCCCUGCUGCUGGCAGAGGCUCUGCCUUCAGAGCUGGGCUCCCAGCCAGCAGCCGCCGCUCUCCAGCUGCCCAGCUCUGAAGGCAGCGCCGACAGCAGCUGCGCAAAAGCAAGGGUAGCAGUACCGCAACCCCCUCCCUCCCCCAAAUAACCUUGCAAACCCCCCCCCCAACUCCUUUUUGGGUCAGGACCCCCUACAAUUACAAGAAGUGAAAUUUCAGAUUUAAGUAGCUUUAAGUAGAUUUAAAAUCCUAUGGCUGUGAAAUUGAUCAAUAUGGACCGUGAAUUUGGCAGGGCCCUAGUCAUAACCUUGUGAUUAGUUUACCUACCAUGAUGAAACCUUAGGCACAUAUGGCACGGGAGGGCCUGAUUCUGGGGUGCGCUGAGUGCCCUGACUUCAGUGGUAGUGGAGGGGACUCAGCACUUGAAAAUUGUGGUUAAAUUGGUUAUUUAUUAUUUGUAUUACCUAGAGGCCCUAGUCACGGAGCAGGACCCCAUUGUGCAAGGCACUGUACAAACACAGAACAAAAAGAUGGUUCUUCAUGGUGUACUCCAGAGGGUUUUCUUUUCCAAUCCCCCAAACUCUUUUGUUAGGCUCCAAAAGAGGGGGAAAGAAUAAUGAGCUGUUGUUUAAAAAUAUAGGGCACAGUCCUGUUCCCACUAAAUCCAUGGGAGCUUUGCCAUUGGCUUAAACAGAAACAAGCUUGGGCCUGUAUUUAGCACUGUACUUUACACAGUAAGUGACAAUUUUCCCUUCCUUAAGGGAGCUGCAGAUGCUUGUCACCUGUCAGGGUUGGCCCCGCAUAGGUGGGGGAAUGACCUUGACAAGGAGCAAAGACAGGACAACAUUUUCAAAUGCCUGGAUCUAUGUCAGGCUCCUAAAUUAAUAUUUAGGCAGAUGAGUAAAGGCUGAUUCAGCUCCCUCUGAAGUCAAUUGCAGAUACAGUUGCUCACCACCUUUGAAAAUCAGGCUAAAAAGGGAAUUAGGUGUCUAACUGUUAAGUACCCAGGCAUGAAAAUCUUCGCCAUAGCCUAUUAGGGAGGGCAAUGGACUGAAGAGACGGAAGAGACACACGUCAUCCCAGUCUUUUGAUAGAAAGGAAAAACUCAGCAUGUUUUAUUGAGGGUCUGCCUCAUCACCCCCAAGUUAAGAUAGAGCCCAGGGAGUGAGUCUUUGUAAAUUUCAAUCUGCUCCCUGCUCAGAAAAAUGACUGGCAGAGGAGGACAGUUUGAUGUGCAUACAGGAACUUUAAGAAACUCAAUACUCAGGACUGUUGGCUGGUGUCAAGGAUGUGGAAGUUACCUGUAACCACCUAUUAAUAUUCCAUCUGCUAGUUUGAUUGUUGUUAUGUUCUUGGCUAGCUAUCUGAUAACCAAGGGUUAGUUCCAGCAGAAGCUGUCUUGCAUGUGCACAGGAAGGGAGACCAUAAAUUUCAGAUAACACCACUGGCAAUAGUAAUACAGGUGUCACUCCCUUUACCUUUGACCAUGUUGAGUUCUCCACCCCUGGUUGAGCACGGGGUGGUGGGGGGGAGGCGAUCCCAGUGGGAAUACUGGAACAAAAAUAUUGGAGUGGGUAAAACUCUGAGCUCUGAGGAGACAGUCACAGGGACAGACUGUUCCCCAACCCCGCAGUGUGUUCCUGGGAUAAGGUAGGCCUACCUAAGCUUUAGGUGAGACAGAUGUGUGUAGACUGUUGACUGUGUUGAAAACCCUCCUCUUGUUAUGCUUUGUGCCUACAGUUGAGAUUAAACAAUGCUUUGAUUUUGGAAAGGCUGUUUUAUGUCCCUGUAUUCACACACUGGUCACAGCCCCGAAAGGAAUCCUUGCAGGUCAGCUGAAUCCACUAAUCACGGUUGGUAAACAGAGUCCCGAUCUGAGGAGUGGAGGAAGAAUCACAGGCUCCCGCCCCAGAGAGGUAAAAGCUUGUGGGGGAAUGACCAAUGUCACCUGGAGGGGUUGCACUCAGAGACUGCGAGGGCUGAAACGUGCUGCUAGGCCUGAAUUGUGACCACAGGUUGCUAGGUGAGUAAUGAUUUUAUCUCUGUUGCAACACCAGUUAGGGGAAAAGAAGUGGUGGGUCACAUUAUCCCACAGUGUAACAUCAUUGUCUUCAGUAGCUUUACACCUGCAGACUGCAGUGAAUUUGGCCAGUAUUUUUUAGCCUGUUGUUUUGAUGUAUCCCUAUUGAAAAGAGGUAAUGUGUGACUAGCUGUAAGCCAACUGGAGCAUGCAGAUGCUCUGCCCUGUUAGCACUGAUUUCAGCAUCUGGGGCCCAGUUCUGUUCUUGGUUAUGCUGUCAUAAAUCUAGAAUAAUGGCAUUGAAAUCAAUGUGGUUACUCCCAUUUAUACCAUUGUGAGAAAGCAGAACUUGUCCCUUUGUCUGCAGACUUGGUAUGUGACGACUUUUCAAGGCUUCUCCCCUAGUCGCGCACACAUCCGUAUUCUGAACUGCAGCCAAGAUCCAGUUAUAAAAAUAAAAACCACAAAUGCACCAUGUCUGGAACCCUUAAGAUUAAGAGCUACCAAAUGAGAGAAGUGUCAGAAUACAAUAGGCUUAUGUCAAAGGCUUAACUGUUUGAAGAGUGUCCCUUUUUUGGAAGAGGCCCUGUUGCUGUCUGAUGUCCAGAUGCCAUGGAAAAUCCACUCCCCUUUAUGGUGGGCUUUUGCAGUUCUGAGCUGGGGGUAACACAAAAUUAAAAACUAAAGAGUCUUUUGGAAUCAAAUUUGUUUUUAUUUAAGCAACAAAGAGUCGCAUGAUCAGAGGUGUUAGUUGUCAGCGGGUGCAGCAAAUCCACAGAUGUAGGGCUUGUCUAUACAGGGAAAUUGACCCGAAUAGUUACGGCAGAAUAAUCUAUUCCUCAAUAGCGAUUCCAGAAUAGCUUCCUGUGUGGACACUCUGUUCUGGAAUAAAAGUCACUUUAAUCGGAAUAAUGAGGGCACAUUAUUCCAAAACAAAAUGAUUUUUACUGCAGAAUAGCUUCUUUCACAACGGCUGUUCCAUGUAUUUCCCCAUGUAUACAAACCCGUAGGCUCAUCCUGCAGAUUGUGCUGUUCCUCAGAACCUUAGCUUUUAACUGCUUCACUGCUGCCUCCUGUUCCCAGGAUCUUGAGCAAAAAACACCUCCAGCAAUAUUACAAGCAAGUUCCUUUGAAAUGCUGGAUGCUGAUGCAGCCAUCACAUAGAAGUUGGAGCAGGGACUAACAGCUGCCCAGCUGCAAGAAAAAAAUCGAAACCUACUUGCAACCUACCAGCUCACCCACAUGGGAUGGAGACAACCUCUGAUUGUUACCUGCUCAUUCUCCAAAAGGUUCUCGUCACCAGUGAAGAUGUACCCUGGAGGUAAAAAUAGAUGGAUAGGGAGAAAAACGUGAAUCACAAAAUAAGGACAUCUGGAAGAAAGGGUUUCAGAGGACCUAAUAAUGGAGACACAAAGGAUGAAAAAUAGUUUGAGGGAAAACAACACAGAAAAAGCAUGGAAAACAAGAUGCAGCAGGAUGUGGGAGGAAAAGUAGGAAAUAGGAAGACUAAAGGAAAAGGAGGGAAAAGAACAUUGGGUUUGAUAUUCAAAAGGGCAGAAGCUUAGGGCCAAUUUCUCACCUAACGUGCACCUGCAGUCCCUGUGAAUUGCUCAUGGUAUUGAACACCUACUUGCUCCAAUAUCCAUUUAUGCAUUUUGUAUGAAAGUUAGGCUGGUAUUUGCACACACAUUUUCUCCACAUGAUCCUGGACUUCUGCCGUUUUGAAAAUCAGGUCCAGCAAGGUGUUUUUCUUUUCUUUAAGUUCCAUGGUAAAUUCUCUUAUGCAUCUGCUUUUAAUCUAUGGCACGGUGAUUUAGACACUGCUACCUAAAAAAAAACCCCCAAACAAACAACCUGAACAUUUACUGGCCCCCUUUUGAGGCCAUUGAUCCCCCUCAAUUUCAUUUGGAUAAAUUGACAGGCAUAAAUCUUUGUUUUACUUUCUCCAGAUCCUGAUCUCCCAAAGGGUUGGAGUUGCUUGGAUCUGGGAUUUUGGUUUGGAUCCUUCUGUGAUAGUAAGAUACUCAUACUGUCAUUUACAAAUAUUUACAUAUUGAUAAGAUCUGUGUUUAAUUUCUUAACCUUACCUUCCUACUGACCUCUCCCCCUACUCAGCCACCAACAGAUCCCCUUUGCCCCUCUCUGCUUAUUUCUCUGUGGCUAUUCCUUCCUGUCCUAGCUCUUCACAACCCCAACUUCCCUUUUCAGGCAGCUCGUCUCUUCACAAAUGGAAUGGCCAGACCUGAGCCGAAGCCUGUGCAGUCUCUAGGCACAAGUGGGAGAGUUAAGGAGGCACUGAGUUUUGCCAGCUCAACUCAGAAAUGUAUGGUUAUUGGUAUUGCAUUUCAGGUUGGCUUAAUGCUUGGGCUUGUAAACUCAAAUUCAUUGCUACUUGUAGCCACUAGAUGUCACUAGAGCCUCACUAACUGUCCUGCUAACUUUUUUUGUUUUUUACUGUAUCACUUCUGCCAUAGCACCAUCUACACACAAAUUCACAUUUGUGUCUGAAAUUGUUGUACCGUCCCUAAUUACAGGUAACACUCCAGGUUACUAGAAGUUAGGGAUAAACAAAUUUUCCCUCUCUUUUUCCAGUUUGUUCCCUUUUUUUGUUUUUGACAGCACUUUUUGUAUAGUCCGUUUAUGGUUGUCUCCCUUGUACGCUCGGUUAAAGAGUCAGCUGCCUGCGGGCUGAAACGACCUGUUACGAUUAGACCUGUUGUGAACGUCCAGAGUCAUGCAGAUCAACAUUUACAAAUAUUUUUUAAAGAAAAAUUCAGGACCUACUAUUUAAAGUCGGCUGGAAUUUUUACAAAAUAAUUUGGAAACCUCAGGUUGGCCACAUCCCUUUAAAGACAGGAAAUAAGUGUAUUAGAAGCAUUUGGCUGGCUCCCUGUUUCUUCUCUCCCUCUCUGUCAUGCUGGUUUAGUAACACAUGUUCCGGUCCUGCAAUGAGCUCUGUAUGGCGACAGGGUCCAUUCAUGUUGCAGAAUCAGGGCCUUAUGCAUUCGCAUAAUUUCACUCAUAGCAUCAUAACUUCACUUUCUGAAUAAUUUACAGUGACUGAGAGAAAAAAUAUGAUUGUUCUUACAACGCUUAUAUCGGACUGCAGAUUUGUCUGUGAAUCAGGACUGUGCAUUAAAAAACAUGUUCCCAGCUUUGAAGAGCCUGGCUAGCUAAAUAAGGCAGGACAAACAAAAAUGAGACAAAACACAUCUCGCUUUGAACCAUCUCUGGGAAGCAGGUCUUGGCAGAGGAAAAGAGAGAUUGUAAUGCUGUAAGAAUAGUAAUGAUAAUUAAUAAUAAUGUUAUUUAUAAAAUAUCCCCGGAGGUGCUCUGGAUGCUGUACAACAAUUUUAAAUACAAUAAAAAACAACAACACUAUAAAUCCAGAUGAAAACACAAAUGAAGCGUCAUUAAAUUAAGGGUGUCCUUUACAGCAGCUGGCAGAAUUUAAAACUGUUUUCAGGUGCUUUUUACAAAUGGAAAGGGAUGCGCUGUAUAAGAUACACCUACAUCUGAGUUUGCAUAGCUACGUAUAUCUCUAUAUCUCCUUGUGUGUCCAGAGAAAGAUACUAAUACACAGAAAUUAUAUGUAUAGGCCACCAUUUUCAGAUUUGGGAUUGGGAGCUUAAAACUAGGCACCGAAAGCCAUAUUUUGGACCCAAUCCUGUAAAUACUGACACCAUUGUUUAAAUGUACUUGUGCGAGUAAUCCCAUUUCACUUAAUUUAUCUCUUGUCAUGCUUAGAUGUUUUGCUGGUGGGACCAGAGUGCUCAGCACCUUGCAGUAGGAAACCCUGGGAGCAGAGUAAGACAAAUCAUGUUAUUAUUUCUUGACCUAUAUUUCUAGUUAGUACUUUGGGGAAGAUUCUUCCCUGCUGCAAUAUGUCAUAGCCCUGUUUAAGUCAAUUUUCACCAGUCCUGCAAUGAGCUCUGUGCACAUCCAGGGAUCUGACUACAAGGAUCAGGCCUUGGAUUACUAAAAGAGAAGUAAUUUUUCAAGCCCAGUUUGGAUGUCAUUGUUUAUCCUUUGUUUCCAUUUCGCAAGUCUGGCAGAUGGACAAUAUAAUUCAUUUAUGUUAGUUUCACUUGUAGA